rnacentral:rRNA from 1 species
CUCGUAGUUGGAUUCGGUUAAGAGCGACCGGUCCGCCGUUUGGUGUGCACUGGUUGGUUUUAACUUCCUGUAGAGGACGUGCUCUGGGCUUAACGGUCUGGACUCGGAGUCUGCGUGGUUACUUUGAAAAAAUUAGAGUGUUCAAAGCGGGCUUAAGCUUGAAUAUUUCAGCAUGGAAUAACACUAUAGGACUCCUGUCCUAUUUCGUUGGUCUCGGGACGGGAGUAAUGAUUAAGAGGAACAGUUGGGGGCAUUCGUAUUUCAUUGUCAGAGGUGAAAUUCUUGGAUUUAUGAAAGACGAACUUCUGCGAAAGCAUUUGCCAAGGAUGUUUUCAUUAAUCAAGAACGAAAGUUGGGGGCUCGAAGAUGAUUAGAUACCAUCCUAGUCUCAACCAUAAACGAUGCCGACUAGGGAUUGGCGGAUGUUAAUUGAUGACUCCGCCAGCACCUUAUGAGAAAUCAAAGUUUUUGGGUUCCGGGGGGAGUAUGGUCGCAAG